GGGCCAUACAGCUCAGUGGUGGAGCAUCUGUUCUACAUGUGGAAGGUUCCAGGUUCAAUUCCUGGCAUCUCCA